AAGGUGCACCCCCAGGAAGGGUCUAGGCCAGGCCCGGCACGCUCUCCAGACCCCAGCGAGGCCACGAGGGUAGGAGCAAGGCGGGGCGGCCUGGGCUGUCUCGAUCUGGGCCCGGGGCCCCUUCCCACUCGCUUCUCUCGGGCCGGCGUCGAGCGAGGGCGCCCGCGAUCGCACCAGCACACGCGGCCGUGGCGCCCCCUCGGCCCCAACUCCGGCAGACCCUGCCCGACCCCCUCGCGCGCGGCCGCGCUCCCACCGCCUCGCUCUGGGUCGCGCCGACGCAGCCCAGGUGCGGGCGGGUUGGCCGCCCAGGUGAGGCCGCGCCGGGGGGGCCCGACUGUGCCGACCCCGCCCCACCCCGCCGCGGCCUCCCUCUCCGCGCGCCCCGCCCGGCCGGAGCCCGAGGAGGGGGCCCUACCUGGCCAGGUGCGCGGGGUCUCGGGACAAGGGCAGCAGGAGCCGACCGCCGCCCAGCGGCUUCGCGGUCCGGUCGGUCCGGCAGCCACUCCCUGCCGCGGCCCGCCCGCCGCGCGGCCUGAUUCACGCGCCCGCCCCCGCCCCGCCCGCCGCCCCUGCCGCCUGCCUGCCCGGGCAGCACCUGGGGCGGGCGGCCCCACCGCGGCGCGCCUGAAUUCCUGCGCCGCCCGCCCGCCGCCGCCGCUCCCGGGACCCUCGCCUAACCCCCACGGCGGAACGGCCUGGGACCCCAGCCUGGGACUCCGGCAGACCCUGCCCGACCCCUCGCGCGCGGCCGCGCUCCCACCGCCUCGCUCUGGGUCGCGCCGACGCAGCCCAGGUGCGGGCGGGUUGGCCGCCCAGGUGAGGCCGCGCCGGGGGGGCCCGACUGUGCCGACCCCGCCCCACCCCGCCGCGGCCUCCCUCUCCGCGCGCCCCGCCCGGCCGGAGCCCGAGGAGGGGGCCCUACCUGGCCAGGUGCGCGGGGUCUCGGGACAAGGGCAGCAGGAGCCGACCGCCGCCCAGCGGCUUCGCGGUCCGGUCGGUCCGGCAGCCACUCCCUGCCGCGGCCCGCCCGCCGCGCGGCCUGAUUCACGCGCCCGCCCCCGCCCCGCCCGCCGCCCCUGCCGCCUGCCUGCCCGGGCAGCACCUGGGGGCGGGGCGGCCCCACCCGCGGCGCGCCCGAAUUCCUGCGCCGCCCGCCCGCCGCCGCCGCUCCCGGGACCCUCGCCUAACCCCCCACGGCGGAACGGCCCGGGACCCCAGCCCGGGACCCCGGGAGACCGCUGA
rnacentral:lncRNA from 1 species